UACGGAGGGUGCGAGCGUUAAUCGGAAUUACGGGGCGGAAAGCGAGCGUAGGCGGCGAAGUAAGCAGGUUGUGAAAGCACCGGGCUCAACCUGGGAAUGGCAUCCGGAACUGUUUAGCUAGAGUGAAGAAGAGGAAGGUAGAAUUCCCGGUGUAGCGGUGAAAUGCGUAGAGAUCGGGAGGAAUACCAGUGGCGAAGGCGUCCUUCUGGUCUGACACUGACGCUGAGGUGCGAAAGCGUGGGUAGCAAACAGG
rnacentral:misc_RNA from 1 species